rnacentral:rRNA from 1 species
AGCAGCCGCGGUAAUUCCAGCCCCAAUAGCGUAUAUUAAAGUUGUUGCAGUUAAAAAGCUCGUAGUUGAAUUUCGGAAUUUGUCGGUUGGUCGGGCUUCACUGUCCGCACUGGCCUGAUGGAUUCCUACCUUCUGAAUAACCAGCAUGCUAUUAAUUUAGUGCGUUGGGGAAGCAGAGCUAUUACCUUGAAAAAAUUAGAGUGCUUAAAGCAGGCUCACGCUUGAAUAGAUUAGCAUGGAAUAAUAAAAUAGGACGGCUUGGUUCUAUUUUGUGGUUCUAGGAUCACCGUAAUGAUUAAUAGGGAUAGUUGGGGGCAUUAGUAUUCAAUUGUCAGAGGUGAAAUUCUUGGAUUUAUUGAAGACUAACUUCUGCGAAAGCAUUUGCCAAGGAUGUUUUCAUUAAUCAAGAACGAAGUUAGGGGAUCGAAGACGAUCAGAUACCGUCGUAGUCUUAACCAUAAACUAUGCCGACUAGGGAUCGGACGAUGUUAAUUUUUAA